GCCUGGGUGGCUUAGUCAGUGGAGCGGCGGACUUGGGCUCAGGUCGUGGACUUCGGCUCAGGUCAUGAUCUCACGAUUCGCGGGUUCGAGCCCCGCAUCAGGCU
rnacentral:tRNA from 1 species